AUUGAACGCUGGCGGCAGGCCUAACACAUGCAAGUCGAGCGGAUGAAGGGAGCUUGCUCCUGGAUUCAGCGGCGGACGGGUGAGUAAUGCCUAGGAAUCUGCCUGGUAGUGGGGGAUAACGUCCGGAAACGGGCGCUAAUACCGCAUACGUCCUGAGGGAGAAAGUGGGGGAUCUUCGGACCUCACGCUAUCAGAUGAGCCUAGGUCGGAUUAGCUAGUUGGUGGGGUAAAGGCCUACCAAGGCGACGAUCCGUAACUGGUCUGAGAGGAUGAUCAGUCACACUAGAACUGGAACACGGUCCAGACUCCUACGGGAGGCAGCAGUGGGGAACAUUGGACAAUGGUCGAAAGCCUGAUCCAGCCAUGCCGAGUGUGUUGAGAAAGUCUUCGGAUUGUAAAGCACUUUUUGUUGUGAGGAAGGGCAGUAAGUUAAUACCUUGCUGUUUUGACGGUACCGACAGAAUAAGCACCGGCUAACUUCGUG
rnacentral:rRNA from 1 species